UACGGGGGGGGCAAGCGUUGUUCGGAAUUACUGGGCGUAAAGGGUGCGUAGGCGGUCCGCUAAGUUGGAUGUGAAAACUCUGGGCUUAACCCAGAGCCUGCAUUCAAAACUGACGGGCUAGAGUUCUGGAGGGGGUAGCGGAAUUCCACGUGUAGCAGUGAAAUGCGUAGAGAUGUGGAGGAAUACCGAUGGCGAAGGCAGCCCCCUGGGCCAAUACUGACGCUCAUGCACGAAAGCGUGGGGAGCAAACAGG
rnacentral:rRNA from 1 species